CCUCCCCGUUUUUUUCCUCUCCACGCGAAACUCUCUAGCCGGUACCACACGGGUCCGACCAAGCUACCACCAGUCGCCAAUCGUUCAUUCGUGGGUCGCCGUUCGCGCAGGUUGGUUUGAUCGUCAGCAAGCAGCGAUCGUCUAGUGCCGCUCGCCCUUCCACGGGCUGAUCUUGCCCAGUUCGUCAGAGACGCGUCCGCACCGCCGUCGCCCCAGCCACUUAACCGCCGCGUGUCGCGCCCGUCUCCCAACAGCUUGAGCCACCACCCCGAGAUCCAGCCACGCCGUACCUGUUCAACGAAUGUGUUCGCGUCAGGGGUGCUGCCGUCGCCUCUAGCCGAUCUAUUCCACCGUCCAUCGCCGUGCUGCCUAUCCUUUGUUGCGUGGGUCUUCGUCGAACUCUGAGAUUUGGAUUUGAGCUUGGGAAAUUAUAGAAGCGGCUGUCCAGUGGAUUCGAGAUUGUUCGACAAGAGUUUUGGUUCCAAGUCGUCGUCCAUUGGGAUUUAAAAUCUGUUAGGAGGAGAUUUUGGAGUCGAAAUCUUGGGAGUAGUUGUUGAUCAAGUUUCUUUGGGGCCGUUACUUCAAACCGCUGUCAUCGUUUGGUUGUCUGAUUUUAUCUGUGAAUUUUCAAUUAAGGUAAG